UUUUGGAGAAGUUCAGGUUAAAAUGUUCGUCUCAGAUUGUAGAUAUCCAUAGAGUUCGGCUUCGUUUGGUUAGAGUAUAAGUAAGAACUAGUUAUAUCGGGGAUAGGUACAAGUAUGAAUUUUCGUAGGAACAAGAGUAUUUUUUUAUUUGGAUGAAAAUAUGAGUAAAGUUGGAACUAGAAAAAUUAUGUUUGGAUGAAAAAUGUGAGUAUAAGGUGAAAUAGUUGGUAGUUAUAAAUAGAAAAUAAUGUGAGUAUAAUGAAAGUUGAAAAUUUUAACAUUUAAAUUUUAAAAUUUAAAAUUAAAAUUUAAAAUUUUAAUUUUUAAAAUUUUAAUUUUAAAUAUCAAAUUUCAAUUUUAAAACUAAAUAAAAAUCUCUCUCUUUCUCUCUAUUCGGGGUUGGGAACAACUUGUUCCCACUGUGGGUGGGUGGGAACAGCUUGUUACCGGGUGGGUGGGAACAACUUGUUCCCAGCC
rnacentral:lncRNA from 1 species